GACGAACGCUGGCGGCGUGCCUAAUGCAUGCAAGUCGCACGCGGCACCUUCGGGUUUUGAGUGGCGAACGGCUGAGGACCCCGUGGGGACCUGUCCGGGAGCGGGGGACAACAUCGCGAAAGCUUUGCUAAUCCCGCAUACGCUCUGAGGAGGAAAGCCGAAGGGCGCUCCCGGGUGGCCCUGCUGCCCAUCAGGUUGUUGGUGGGGUAACGGCCUACCAAGUCAAUGACGGGUUGCUGGUCCGUGAGGACGACCAGCCAGACUGGGACUGGGACACGACACAGACUCCUACGGGAGGAAGCAGCAAGGAAUUAUCAGCAAUGGGCGCAAGCCUGAGCGAGCAACGCCGCGGGAAGGAAGACGGCCGUCGGGAUGUAGACUGCUUUUGCUAGGGAUGAUGAGUGACAGUACCUGGCGAAUCAGCCCCGGCUAACUCUGUG
rnacentral:rRNA from 1 species